GCAUGUAGCUCAGUUGGUUAGAGCAUGGUGCUGAUAAUGCCAAGGUUGCAUUUCCAAUCCCUGUUAGGGACAGCUGCA